GAAGAGCCUCCAACAGAAGAAUCUCCCCGAGCCGAUCCCCUCGUUACCGAAUCACCCACUGUCGGCCCUCAGAUUGAUGAACCACAAAAUGACGAGCCUCCUGCACCUGAAGAAUCCCUCAAACCCCGAAGAAGAAAGAGAGCUGCCAAGAUAUCCAAAUCCGUUCGCCCCGAUACAGAACCUGAGAUAGAUCAGUGAACAAAUCUAGAAACAAACCCCUCAUCCAAUCUCACUUCUGUACCUCCCAAAUCCGCU
rnacentral:lncRNA from 1 species